GUGGGCAAUCUGCCCUGCACUCUGGGACAAGCCCUGGAAACGGGGUCUAAUACCGGAUACGAGCCUCCUGGGCAUCUGGGAGGUUGGAAAGCUCCGGCGGUGCAGGAUGAGCCCGCGGCCUAUCAGCUUGUUGGUGAGGUAACGGCUCACCAAGGCGACGACGGGUAGCCGGCCUGAGAGGGCGACCGGCCACACUGGGACUGAGACACGGCCCAGACUCCUACGGGAGGCAGCAGUGGGGAAUAUUGCACAAUGGGCGAAAGCCUGAUGCAGCGACGCCGCGUGAGGGAUGACGGCCUUCGGGUUGUAAACCUCUUUCAGCAGGGAAGAAGCGAGAGUGACGGUACCUGCAGAAGAAGCGCCGGCUAACUACGUGCCAGCAGCCGCGGUAAUACGUAGGGCGCAAGCGUUGUCCGGAAUUAUUGGGCGUAAAGAGCUCGUAGGCGGCUUGUCGCGUCGAUUGUGAAAGCCCGGGGCUUAACUCCGGGUCUGCAGUCGAUACGGGCAGGCUAGAGUGUGGUAGGGGAGAUCGGAAUUCCUGGUGUAGCGGUGAAAUGCGCAGAUAUCAGGAGGAACACCGGUGGCGAAGGCGGAUCUCUGGGCCAUUACUGACGCUGAGGAGCGAAAGCGUGGGGAGCGAACAGGAUUAGAUACCCUGGUAGUCCACGCCGUAAACGGUGGGCACUAGGUGUUGGCGACAUUCCACGUCGUCGGUGCCGCAGCUAACGCAUUAAGUGCCCCGCCUGGGGAGUACGGCCG
rnacentral:rRNA from 1 species